UCAGGGAGCAGCUCCCGCCGCGGUGACUCAGGUGCCGGCUCCGGCCCAGCCCUUGCCGGGAAGCUCCUGUUUUAUUUUCCGCAGUCAGCUCUGCCUCGGGAUGUGCUGCUGCGGGCCACUCCCUGAGAAAGAAGCAGAAGGAGGAUGGAACCCCCAGCUUUUCUUGGGAAGAAGGAAUUGCUCAGCUUUCUUAGCCUAGAAAAGGGCUGCCAGCUGCAUGUCCAAAACAGGUUCCACGGGAGCCAGACACAGGGCAGUUCCUGGCUGCCUCGCUGUGUGCCAAAGCUAAUGAGAAAACAUCAGGCAGGUUUCAAAACUGGGAACUUGGUGUUACAUCAGUGCUUCCUGCCCCGUUGAAAGAGUUUUUGAAAGUUGCUGCUAAAUCACCAGUUCCUGUUGUAGGGCCUGUCACAGCUCUGGUCUCCAGCUGGAGGUAUGCCAUGAAGACACAGCACUAGUGUUCAGUGAUUUCUCAAGAGUCUGUAACGCCCUCUUGGGAGCACAUGCCACCUGCGGUGUCCCAGGACACAGCCCAGAGGUGUUUUUUCAUGACAGGUAUUGGAGAAUCUCCAAUCUGGCUGAUUUUGAGCCAGUGGGCUCCACCAGUAAAAGUUGUUUACAAGGAAGUAGCUAAGACAAACCAAGUUUGUACACAUUCUGUAUUUGUUGUCAUUAAAAGAUAGGAAAUGGAUGGGCAAGGCUGUCACUAUGUCAUCUCUCUCAAACUCUAGGCACAGCCAAGGAAAAGUUGUAAAGACAGUGCAGUUUGAUGAUAAAACUCAUCAUAACGUUAAUUGCAAUUAGAGCAUCAAACUCAACACCUCACAUCAUCCUGUGGGCACUUCCAGACCCAUGCUGUGCCUUUGGUUGGGUGCCGUAGCAUGGCAUUGCACCAGUAAAUGUGCUUGGCACCAAAGUUUUGACACACUACAAAUUUUUGGCUGCAUCAGGACAAAAAGAGAUAAAUCCCCCCUUUCAGGAUGAAAGCAGAGCUGGAAACAGUUUUUGGUGAUGUCCUGACAACUGGUGUGCCUAACAGAUGAUCCCCUCUGGACCGCGUGGUCCUGGAAGAAGUGUUCCUCUUCCUGGAGAGUAGCUUGCUGUGGUACAUCUUGAAAACUUGUACAGAGCUUUUUGCAAACAUCUGAGUACAGAAGGCACUCAGUGAGAAACACAGCAGCCUGCUGGGAUUUUCCCUGGACACUCUUGUUGCACAGUUGUAAUCCUCUCAGUUUCCUUUCUGUUCUGUGGAUUUUGAUUUUCUGAGGCAGGAUGAGAAAAUGUGUCAUAGCACUGUGUUGGCGUUCAGGGCAAGCAUCACACUUUAUCAGUUAAAAGCAAGGCCAAACAUGCCAUGUUUCUGGAAGCCAGCGCACAGCUGGAGGGACUGAAGUGGGAUGCCUGGCUACCUUCUCUCUUCCUAACUGUGCCACCUCUUUGAGUGCCUGUGGCCUGAGUGGGAAUGGCCAGAUACUGAUGACACCACAUGUGCUGUGAUGAGUGGGAAGUGAAAAGCCAGAAUGAAUUUCUAGGGAUAUGUGGAAACUCCCUUCUGGAGCUCUGCUUUUCACAUGCUUCUCUAAAAACAGCUGCAUCCCUCCUCCACAAGAAGCUGUGGGAUGUGUGCCAAUUGGGCUGCACUAGAAGUAAAGGGAAAAAGACAAAAAUCUGAAAUACAUUGUUUUAUGCCAUUCUCUAAGGAGUCCUGGGCAGAUUUUUUUUUAAAAGAGUGAGUAAGUUUGUUGUCUAGAAAUUAUUAUUUAAGAGCAGGAGCAAACUGCAUUUAAAUGGGGAAUUCACCUCUUCACCUCACACGGUUGUUCAGGAUGUGUCAUGUCCGGAAGCACUGGAAUGUUACAUGUUUUAAUUUGGACCAUGGCAGUUUUGCUCCCAGCAAUUGUGUGUCUAAACCAAACGCUGGAAAGGGACACACUGGUCUGGAGUGCUCUUUAAACACACAGAGGUCUGCCCUGCUUAUGGGGCACAUGUGCCUGGAGAGCUCCCAGCUGGGUGUCCCCAAGCAGCCCCACCACUGGCUUCAUCUGCUGUUUGCCCCUUCCCAGCAGGAAUGCCGCAGGGAUGGAGAGGAAUAACGACUGCUCUGCUGUGCGACCCCAUGGGGAAGAGUUCAUGGGUUAACCUGUGAGUGGCUACUUGGGCAUAAAUCCACAGAGGAUUUGGACCUGGAAUCCCCCUUCGGCCAGAACAGCUGUUUUCUCUCCCAGCUCACUGCAGUGCCUCUUACCUCAGGAGGACACCUAGGGCUGGCUCUGGCCUUAGCAAUGAGCUUUGUUCGACCUCAUUGCUGUGCCCUGAGCACACCCCAGCGAGGAUCCUGCCUGGCUUUCUGCUCUCUGUGCCAAGGUUAUUUCAUUUUGCUGGCAAUGGUCGUGCUGCCAAGGCCCAGGGAUCACAUCGGAGUUUAUAUGGCAUUGCUCUGGUUCACCCUGCCAGGGUGAGAAGUUAAAGGCAGAAGUGGUUUGUGCUCAGUGGUUCAGUUUGUGUCUGAGCCAGAGUACAACAGCCCCAUCUCCUGCUCUCCACAGUCUGGGGGGUCUGGAGAGCUGGCUGCCAGCUUGGCCUGCCUCCACUAACAUCCCAUGCCAUCCUCUGUCCUACUGCUCUUUAGAAUCAGAUGCCUGUAACUCAUGCCAGUGGGAUGAAUAAUGCACAGAAAUGCUGCAGAGUGGGAUGAAAGGUAGGAAAUGUGGGUGAUGCCAAGUCUUGCUUCCCCUCAGCAGAGAGGUAUUUUUUUUGCUGGAAGGCUUUCCUGUUUUUCGUUAGGCAGCUGUGUGACGGUCUCUGGGCAAGGAGUCCCAGUCCCUUGCAGUGCCAAGAAAAACACUCUAAGUUCUUGGCCUCUGAAUGCCCAUGUGGUGAGUAAGCUGGCAAGGAUUAGAUGUCCAGCUCUGCCUGUGCAUGCACAGAUGGGAACAGACGGGAAGGAAUAUAGUCCAAGCUAGAAAAUGGUUGAAGGGAAAGAAAAAACCUAACUGAAAAAUGCUGGAGAACUUGAGGUCGUCUUGGCACAGAUGCUUCCCCAGCACAAAUCAAAGAGUAGGGAGAAAAUGGAACUCUCAGGAUGGUAAUAGGCUUCUCUCCUUCAUUCUUUCCUCUUCCCUGCCCCAGUCACCUCUUUUGAACAUGACCUGCCAGAGCAACACGCAGCAAGCAACUCCUCACUGCCACACAGACUGGCUGUAGUCAAGGCACUCCUUAAGAUCUUUCAUCAAAAUCUGUACCAUCACCCUGUACCAACAGAUAAAAAUCUGCUUACUUUUGAUCUAAUUGCAUUUAAUAGGAGCUUGGACUUUUUCCAGAGUAAGAACAAUUGUUGUUGCUUAAAUAUUUUAUAAACUAGCAUUUUUCUGGCCAGAACACAAACUCUUAGAAGUCAAUGAUGAGGAGCCAUCACUUUUUGUACCAACACUUAUUUUUUUGGGCACAAUGUGACUCUGGGUAUUAUUUUAACUUUCCUUCACUGGGAAGUGAAGGAAAAUUUACUUUUUACUUUCUCACUGUCAGCAUUAUUUUAGUUUUCCCUUUGUGUCUUGUCUCAGAGGUGUAACUUUGGAGUACCUUUGUGAUACGUAACUAAAUUAAAUUACUAAAUUAACAUUGUUUUCAAAGACUGAGAGAAGAGUUUAUAGCCAUUUCUUACUUAACAUAAGCCAUAGUAUCUUGCCCAGUUGUUCAAUUCAUAAGCCAGCAUUUACAGUUACACUUUUCUUUGGGAAAAACAUUGCUUUGUUCAAAAGGAGACACAAUGCUGCUACACAAGCUGCAGAAACCUGCAUUUGCUGCUCCCACUGCUGUACAGAGUGGAUCCUCAUACUUGAGAGGGAAUGGGCAGAAAGCGUUGCAGCCUGCAAAGCCUUCCUGACUUUUCCUGACUAGGAGAACCUUACAAGGAGAUUCCCAUUUCUAAGGGAAUCUUAUUCCAGGGAACACUGUAUUGGAUUUGCAUGGCCCCAUUUUGGUAUUGGGCAGGCUACAGGGGUGGCUUCUGUGAGAAGCUGCUGGAAGCUUCCCCCAUGUGCAACAGAGUCAAGGACAGAUGGCUCCAUGAUGGACCUGCUGCUGGCCCAGGCUGAGCCCAUCAUCAACAGUGGUAGUGCUUCUGGAAUAGCAUUUUUAAGAAAAAGGGAAAAAACUGAACAUCAGCACUCAGCUGGAAAAGGGGACUGAGAAUAUGUGUGAGAAACAACUGUGCAGACACCAAGGUCAGAGAAAUAGGAGGGAAACGUGGUGUUCCAGGUGACAGAGGUGAGACUCCCUGCAGCCCAUGGUGAGGCAGCUGUGCCCCUGCAGCCCAUGAAGGUCCAUGGUGAUGCAGAGAUUCAUCCGUAGCACCUAGAAGACCCCCCAGCAAAGCACAUAGAUGCCCAAAGGAGGCUGGAAUCCUGUGGGAAAUCCAUAAUGGCACAGACUCCUGGCAGGACCUGUGGUCCCGUGGAGGGAGGAACCCAGGCUGGAGCAGGCUUGCACCACUGUGAAAAAGGCAAGCUGCUUGCAGAGCUCUGUGCACAUAUAAAAGGAGACAUUUUAAGGAUGCAGGCCAUGAUAAAAGCAUGGCUAUAAUAAUUCAGAAACAGACACUUGAACAUAAAUAGUCUGAUGCAAGAGAAAACUGGAAUCGGAUUUCAUAGCAUCAAGAGCUCUGGAGAUCACAAUGGGAUCUCCUAGCUGAAAACGGAGUGGAAGGCAUGAAGUACAUUACUGGGGCUGAACUGGGGCCAACACAAUGAUCACUGAAAGUGCCAUGACUGAUGCACAGCCAGUCUUUGGGCAAGGAAUCAAUCACAAUCCGCCUCAGGUGCCUGAUAUUUCUUCCUCUCCCUUUGCUUACGAUUGAUGGGAAGGUCAUCAUUUCCAUGAAAGAAUUUCAUGACUGCAGAACCAAAAGUCCUGCAUGCAUAGCCCAAAGAAGUUUCUCAUGCUCUCUGCAAAAGGCCAGCCAGGGCUUGAGGCUUGGACUAGGGUUUGCUUCUUUACCUCAGUGUGCACAGAGCCACCAGAACACAGCCACCUCUAAGCUGUAUCCAAAGACAGUGGCAAAGCUUGCCCCCUGUCCCUGCAGCAACUCUGGUUUGCACUGACAGCCUUCACCACACUAUAAAAAACAGGCUGGAUCACGUACCUGAACUCUUCAUUUAGUGAAUGUACAACGCUUAGACACUGCAACCAUGCAUGUCUCAAAAACCAGAAGCAGCUUUGUGUUUGAUCUCACUCAUCCCUUCUGGAAACAUGCACAUAAGAAAUCAGGAGGGAAACUUCCAGCCACAACCUUUAAGGCAUCAUGACAAAAUGUUCUGUAUCUUACAGGACACAUAUUUGGCCAGAAGGGAGAUUCAAUGUCAACUGAAAGGGAAUAAGGACAUGCAUUGAAGCAGUACCAGCAGAAAACCAUUCCAACUAUUUUAAAGGGUUUUCCAAGCAUAGUGGCUCCAUGCUGUGCCAUCAGACAGAUGCUACAAUUUUAACAAUAGCAAGGGUUUCUUUGCUGUAGGAGUGUUAGACCAUUUGUCUGAGUCCUGAGAAGCUCCGCUGUGAACAAAUUAAAUCUGGGUGAGUUGCAUACCUGCCAGGUAUGCAACUCCUCCUUUUUUGAAUCUAAAAAUGUGGGUUCAAGUCAUGCAAGUGACCAACAGAUACUGCAAAUUUUAUUUUUAUUUCCUUAUUACAGAAACUAAAUUAGCAUAUGCCUACAUCUUAAUUAAAACAAAUUCACCACUGCAGAGAAAGAGUAUUCUUUUUAUUCUCUAAAGCACACCUGUGAACACAGAAUGAAGUGUAAUUCAGUACAUAAAAGCUUCUUGGUGCACCUCUCACUGCAGUUUCUCCAUUAGUUCUUUUAAAAAAAAUCAUGAGAUCUUAGGUAUUUUUAUAUGCUUCCAUAAGCUUUGCAUGUUCUACCCCUAAUGCAAUUCACUUUUAGAAAUCAGUUAAGAAGCUAAAUCAAAAAGGCCCCUUAAGUUUGCUUUAUUUACAGAUGCAAUGGCUGAAUUUAAAUAGAUUACAGUCACUCCCAGCACCAGCUUCCAAUUUAAAGGAUUAGUGAAUUCCAAAAUUUCUCUUUAAACUGUUUUCUAGAAGGGAUUAAGUUGUCCAUAACUACAGCUAUGUAGGUAAUCCCAGCCACCUACAUAAAUUACCUUAUAGAAAAUAAACAUGCUGACAAAAAUAUUUAUAAUUGACAAAAUGACAAAAUGAGAAACUCAACCUUCAGGAAGAAUGGACAGAAGUUUGGUUUUGUGCUGCAGUCAUUGCUGACCAUGGGAACAGCAGCAGUGUGGGAGAAGAGCAGUCAAGCAGGCUGAAGUCCAGAGCAGGUGUCUCUGGUUCCUUUGUGAAGAGAGCUGUAUGUCCAGCUCUCAUUUCCUCCUCCUUUUGACACAUCUCCCAUUACCACUUUUUUGCAAAAUCAUCGGUCAGAUUUUCUGAACUGAGACAUCAUGCAGCUUAUUUCAGAGGGGAAGAAAAUAACUGCAUCUGCAGGGAAGCUGACUUGCAUUAUCUGAAUAAAGACAGAUCUGUUCCUCUGAGUUUUAGAGUUUACAAGUGGAUGAAGGUCUUGUGGCAACUGAGAAACUACUGUAAGAUUAACAACUCGGAUGCACAUGUAUUUGUCUGUUCUUACAUACUUUCAAAACCCAAUGGAAGGAAGAAGUAUCUGUGAUUCAGGUAGAUCCAGAA